GCUGGGUGUGGUGGCACACACCUGUAAUCCCAGCUACUUGGGAGGCUGAGGCAGAAGAAUCACUUGAACCCAGGAGGUGGAGGUUGCAGUGAGCCAAGUUCACGCCACUACACUCCAGCCUGGGUGACAGAGUGAGACUCUGUCUCAA
rnacentral:SRP_RNA from 1 species